rnacentral:rRNA from 1 species
AUGGAGCAUUUGGUCGAAUUAUACAGCGGGUGGGAAAUCCAACUUCUUGUACUGCUCAGCUUCACAUUGCAGUCGUUCCUCUUCUUUGCUGGCAGACUGCGGCGCCGAAGCAGCAACAGCUUUCUCAGGCUCUGCCUCUGGGCAGUUUAUUUGGGGGCAGACUUGGUAGCAGUGUAUGCACUGGGCUAUCUCUCUAAGCGCCAGGAUGUCACCAUUGAAACGAACGUACUUACAAGAACCCAACCACUAGCUUUCUUUUGGGCACCAUUCCUCCUCAUCCAUCUUGGUGGGCAGGAUACCAUCACUGCUUUCGCCAUGGAGGACAACAACUUGUGGUUGAGGCAUCUGUUGAAUCUGGUGAUGCAAGUUUCCCUGGCUUUAUAUGUUUUUUGGAAGUCCAUUGGUAAACACAGUGCGAACCUUCUGCUUGCGGGUAGCUUUGUGUUUGUUACUGGAAUUAUCAAGUAUGGAUAA